rnacentral:rRNA from 1 species
UGGGGAAUUUUGGACAAUGGGCGAAAGCCUGAUCCAGCAAUGCCGCGUGCAGGAUGAAGGCCUUCGGGUUGUAAACUGCUUUUGUACGGAACGAAAAAGCUUCUCCUAAUACGAGAGGCCCAUGACGGUACCGUAAGAAUAAGCACCGGCUAACUACGUGCCAGCAGCCGCGGUAAUACGUAGGGUGCGAGCGUUAAUCGGAAUUACUGGGCGUAAAGCGUGCGCAGGCGGUUAUGUAAGACAGAUGUGAAAUCCCCGGGCUCAACCUGGGAACUGCAUUUGUGACUGCAUGGCUAGAGUACGGUAGAGGGGGAUGGAAUUCCGCGUGUAGCAGUGAAAUGCGUAGAUAUGCGGAGGAACACCGAUGGCGAAGGCAAUCCCCUGGACCUGUACUGACGCUCAUGCACGAAAGCGUGGGGAGCAAACAGGAUUAGAUACCCUGGUAGUCCACGCCCUAAACGAUGUCAACUGGUUGUUGGGAAUUAGUUUUCUCAGUAACGAAGCUAACGCGUGAAGUUGACCGCCUGGGGAGUACGGCCGCAAGGUUGAAACUCAAAUGAAUUGACGGGGGUCAUAGCUGUUUCCU